rnacentral:rRNA from 1 species
UACAGAGGUCUCAAGCGUUGUUCGGAUUCAUUGGGCGUAAAGGGUGCGUAGGUGGCGAGGCAAGUCAGGUGUGAAAUCUCGGGGCUCAACCCCGAAACUGCACUUGAUACUGCCUUGCUCGAGUACUGGAGAGGAGACUGGAAUUUACGGUGUAGCAGUGAAAUGCGUAGAUAUCGUAAGGAACACCGAUGGCGAAGGCAGGUCUCUGGGCCAUAACUGACGCUGAGAAGCGAAAGCAUGGGGAGCGAACAGG